GACGAACGCUGGCGGCGUGCCUAAUACAUGCAAGUUGAGCGAUGAAGAUUGGUGCUUGCACCAAUUUGAAGAGCAGCGAACGGGUGAGUAACGCGUGGGGAAUCUGCCUUUGAGCGGGGGACAACAUUUGGAAACGAAUGCUAAUACCGCAUAACAACUUUAAACAUAAGUUUUAAGUUUGAAAGAUGCAAUUGCAUCACUCAAAGAUGAUCCCGCGUUGUAUUAGCUAGUUGGUGAGGUAAAGGCUCACCAAGGCGAUGAUACAUAGCCGACCUGAGAGGGUGAUCGGCCACAUUGGGACUGAGACACGGCCCAAACUCCUACGGGAGGCAGCAGUAGGGAAUCUUCGGCAAUGGACGAAAGUCUGACCGAGCAACGCCGCGUGAGUGAAGAAGGGUUUCGGAUCGUAAAACUCUGUUGGUAGAGAAGAACGUUGGUGAGAGUGGAAAGCUCAUCAAGUGACGGUAACUACGCAGAAAGGGACGGCUAACUACGUG
rnacentral:rRNA from 1 species